ensembl:lncRNA
ACUGUACUAACCUGUCACUGAAGACCUAUAGGUUCACCACUGUACUAACCUGUCACACACUGAAGACCUAUAGGUUCACCACUGUACUAACCUGUCACACACUGAAGACCUAUAGGUUCACCACUGUACUAACCUGUCACACACUGAAGGCCUAUAGGUUCACCACUGUACUAACCUGUCACACACUGAAGACCUAUAGGUUCACCACUGUACUAACCUGUCACACACUGAAGACCUAUAGGUUCACCACUGUACUAACCUGUCACACACUGAAGGCCUAUAGGUUCACCACUGUACUAACCUGUCACACACUGAAGACCUAUAGGUUCACCACUGUACUAACCUGUCACACACUGAAGACCUAUAGGUUCACCACUGUACUAACCUGUCACACACUGAAGUCCUAUAGGUUCACCACUGUACUAACCUGUUACAUACUGAAGACCUAUAGGUUCACCACUGUACUAACCUGUCACACACUGAAGACCUAUAGGUUCACCACUGUACUAACCUGUCACACACUGAAGGCCUAUAGGUUCACCACUGUACUAACCUGUCACACACUGAAGACCUAUAGGUUCACCACUGUACUAACCUGUCACACACACACUGAAGACCUAUAGGUUCACCACUGUACUAACCUGUCACACACACACUGAAGUCCUAUAGGUUCACCACUGUACUAACCUGUUACACACUGAAGGCCUACAGGUUCACCACUUUACUAACCUGUCACACACUGAAGACCUAUAGGUUCACCACUGUACUAACCUGUCACACACUGAAGACCUAUAGGUUCACCACUGUACUAACCUGUCACACACUGAAGACCUAUAGGUUCACCACUGUACUAACCUGUCACACACUGAAGACCUAUAGGUUCACCACUGUACUAACCUGUCACAUACUGAAGACCUAUAGGUUCACCACUGCGUAACCAUGUCUAUAAUAGAUAACGGUUGUUAAGAUAAUGUUUCAAGAUGGGAGUGUAUAUGUUUGAGUGUUUUUACUCCACUGGUCUAGGGAAGAAAUUACGAGUCCUCACUGUCUGAGACUGAGUCACGACCAAGUACGAAUGUAGCUGACACCAAGACAAGACCCAUAUGUGGUCUCAAGACUGGACUGGUCUCGGUCUUGAGAACUACAACACUGGUAGAAGCUGAGCACAUUACAACAAUUAAUUGAGUAGACACUAAUAAGCAUGUAAGAACAAUGCAUGUCAAUAAGUAGCAUCCACUCUUGAAAGGAUUGGAUAGGUAUUAACAAAUGGUAAUGACUGCAUCUGCUAAGGGGAUCCUCCUUACAGAUCGGCCCUUACACAGUCUAGGGGAUUAGGAUGAUUGGGCUUUAAACAGGCCAUCUUGUUUAACUGGCCAAAUUCACAGGUGUUUCCUUAGCUUCCUCCACCACUGUGAUCUCCUCAACAAAUUUGGGCUGCAGGGCCUGAGGGACAAAC